CUUGUAAAAGAAUAGUUGGGGUUAGCCAGUCCAACAGUAGAGUAGCAAAGGUGGCCAGGGUCUGGGGGAAGCUGGCCACAAUAUUUUAAGGACAUUGCAGCAGCCCCUGCACCCCCUGCUGGAGAGACCUUCAUGGGAAGAAUGGAAACCUCCUGCUAACCACCAGCAUGAGCCAUGUUGGAAGUGAAUCCUCCUGACCCAGUGAGAUGAACCUUGAUUGAUGUUGUUUCUCAGUUUUGAAGUCUAAAAUAAAAUAGAAAUGGCCCAAAGGAAA
ensembl:lncRNA